UCUCUCCUCACCACCACCUGUAGGCUCCUCAGGGAUGCUCUUCCUCCAGCCAUGGGCCUUUCAGACAAGAAACGUGCUUCCCCCACCUUUCUACCCACCUUUUCUCCACAAGAAGUGCCCAGAGAGCUCCAAGCAUUGAAAAGACAUACUGACCAUAUUUCAGCUUCUACACCUUGGAAACACAGUUUUCCCCCAAGAACGAUGUCCUCUCUGCUGUCCUGGCUUUUUCAAGCAUGGAGUAUCAUUGUCACCUUCCUUCUUCCCCAGCAGCUCC
rnacentral:lncRNA from 1 species